rnacentral:rRNA from 1 species
UACGUAGGGCGCAAGCGUUGUCCGGAAUCACUGGGUGUAAAGGGUGCGUAGGCGGAUGGGUAAGUCAGCGGUGAAAUCUCACGGCUCAACCGUGAAACUGCCGAUGAUACUGCCCAUCUUGAGUUCGGGAGAGGUCGAUGGAAUUCCAGGUGUAGCGGUGAAAUGCGUAGAUAUCUGGAAGAACACCAGUGGCGAAGGCGGUCGACUGGCCCGUAACUGACGCUGAGGCACGAAAGCGUGGGGAUCAAACAGGAUUAGAUACCCUGGUAGUCCACGCCCUAAACGAUGAAUGCUUGGUGUUGGCCUUUCGAGGUCAGUGCCGUAGGAAACCUGAUAAGCAUUCCACCUGGGGAGUACGCUCGCAAGGGUGAA